rnacentral:rRNA from 1 species
GAGUUUGAUCUUGGCUCAGAUUGAACGCUGGCGGCAUGCCUUACACAUGCAAGUCGAACGGCAGCAUGAUCUAGCUUGCUAGAUUGAUGGCGAGUGGCGAACGGGUGAGUAAUACAUCGGAACGUGCCCUGUAGUGGGGGAUAACUAGUCGAAAGAUUAGCUAAUACCGCAUACGACCUGAGGGUGAAGUGGGGACCGGCAGCCGUCAUGCUAUAGGAGGCGGCCGGA